GAUAUCCUGCCGCCGGACAGUGAGCCGAAUUACGCAGUAAAAUCCUAUGGCAUAUAAGGACUCACAAGCUUCACACAUUUUAGCAUUCUGGGCCAACUGGGAGGGAAACCAAACCCGAACAACUUCACGUACAUUGUUUAUGUUAUAACGGAUACUGUGCAGUGCAUGAUGUGAAGACGGAACUCAGAAUGCAAAUAACCACAACAAGUCUUCUACAGAUAAUCAACAAGCUGCGGAUUUAGGAGAUUUCUGCUCUGAAGACACUGAUGGUACUAUUGUGCGUCGGGGACCCCCGGAAAUAUUUAGAAUUACUCUCACCACUCGGCACAGAAUAAACUAUACAAGUCACAAACCCUAAAGCAUCUAUGUCACUAGGAUACAAAUAAAAGGUUGCAGC